rnacentral:rRNA from 1 species
UACGAAGGGAGCUAGCGUUGUUCGGAAUCACUGGGCGUAAAGCGCACGUAGGCGGAUGUGUCAGUCAGGGGUGAAAUCCCGGAGCUCAACUCCAGAACUGCCUUUGAGACUGCAUCGCUUGAAUCCAGGAGAGGUGAGUGGAAUUCCGAGUGUAGAGGUGAAAUUCGUAGAUAUUCGGAAGAACACCAGUGGCGAAGGCGGCUCACUGGACUGGUAUUGACGCUGAGGUGCGAAAGCGUGGGGAGCAAACAGG